rnacentral:rRNA from 1 species
UACGGGGGGAGCAAGCGUUGUUCGGAUUUACUGGGCGUAAAGGGCGCGUAGGCGGCCAGCACAAGUCAGUUGUGAAAUCUCCGAGCUUAACUCGGAAAGGUCAACUGAUACUGUGCGGCUAGAGUGCGGAAGGGGCAACUGGAAUUCUUGGUGUAGCGGUGAAAUGCGUAGAUAUCAAGAGGAACACCUGCGGCGAAGGCGGGUUGCUUGGCCGACACUGACGCUGAGGCGCGAAAGCCAGGGGAGCGAACGGG